rnacentral:rRNA from 1 species
AGGAUAAACGCUGGCGGCGUGCCUAACACAUGCAAGUCGAACGCGCUUGCUAUCCGCGAGGACGGUGAGCGAGUGGCGGACGGGUGAGGAACACGUGAGCAACCUGCCCUUGGCUCUGGGAUAGCCUCCGGAAACGGGGAUUAAUACCGGACAUUCACUGAUCCCUGCAUGGGGGAUGGUGGAAAGUUUUUCGGCCAGGGAGGGGCUCGCGGCCUAUCAGCUUGUUGGCGGGGUAACGGCCCACCAAGGCGACGACGGGUAGCCGGCCUGAGAGGGCGAUCGGCCACACUGGGACUGAGACACGGCCCAGACUCCUACGGGAGGCAGCAGUGGGGAAUAUUGCACAAUGGGCGCAAGCCUGAUGCAGCGACGCCGCGUGGGGGAUGAAGGCCUUCGGGUUGUAACCCUUUCACCAGGAACGAAUUCAGACGGUACCUGGGAAGAAGCGCCGGCUAACUACGUGCCAGCAGCCGC